GGCUCACUGCAAAAAACUAGUCAGACCACUAACCUGAAGCCAGAAAAAAGUUCACUGAGCUAUACUUUAUCUACGAAGGAAAUGACAACUUGUAAACUGCCAACAUGGUGUGUCACUGUCAUUGCACUUAAGAAGUUGGAGACAUCGGUACAUGGAGAACAGAGGUUGAGCUAUGGCCACUGCAGUGAAAUAGAAGGCGCAUUCUUCCUGGUGCAGUGAUAUUCAAGCCAUUUGUGUGGUCCAUAAAAGUUCACAUGAUAGAAUGUGGAGGACAAUUUUUGAGUGGACAUAUUCCAUAUGUUGCCAUCC